rnacentral:rRNA from 1 species
GACGAACGCUGGCGGCGUGCUUAACACAUGCAAGUCGAACGGAAAGGCCCUGCUUUUGUGGGGUGCUCGAGUGGCGAACGGGUGAGUAACACGUGAGUAACCUGCCCUUGACUUUGGGAUAACUUCAGGAAACUGGGGCUAAUACCGGAUAGGAGCUCCUGCUGCAUGGUGGGGGUUGGAAAGUUUCGGCGGUUGGGGAUGGACUCGCGGCUUAUCAGCUUGUUGGUGGGGUAGUGGCUUACCAAGGCUUUGACGGGUAGCCGGCCUGAGAGGGUGACCGGCCACAUUGGGACUGAGAUACGGCCCAGACUCCUACGGGAGGCAGCAGUGGGGAAUAUUGCACAAUGGGCGGAAGCCUGAUGCAGCAACGCCGCGUGCGGGAUGACGGCCUUCGGGUUGUAAACCGCUUUCGCCUGUGACGAAGCGUGAGUGACGGUAAUGGGUAAAGAAGCACCGGCUAACUACGUGCCAGCAGCCGCGGUGAUACGUAGGGUGCGAGCGUUGUCCGGAUUUAUUGGGCGUAAAGGGCUCGUAGGUGGUUGAUCGCGUCGGAGGUGUAAUCUUGGGGCUUAACCCUGAGCGUGCUUUCGAUACGGGUUGACUUGAGGAAGGUAGGGGAGAAUGGAAUUCCUGGUGGAGCGGUGGAAUGCGCAGAUAUCAGGAGGAACACCAGUGGCGAAGGCGGUUCUCUGGGCCUUUCCUGACGCUGAGGAGCGAAAGCGUGGGGAGCGAACAGGCUUAGAUACCCUGGUAGUCCACGCUGUAAACGGUGGGUACUAGGUGUGGGGUCCAUUCCACGGGUUCCGUGCCGUAGCUAACGCUUUAAGUACCCCGCCUGGGGAGUACGGCCGCAAGGCUAAAACUCAAAGGAAUUGACGGGGCCCCGCACAAGCGGCGGAGCAUGCGGAUUAAUUCGAUGCAACGCGUAGAACCUUACCUGGGUUUGACAUGGAUCGGGAGCGCUCAGAGAUGGGUGUGCCUCUUUUGGGGUCGGUUCACAGGUGGUGCAUGGCUGUCGUCAGCUCGUGUCGUGAGACGUUGGGUUAAGUCCCGCAACGAGCGCAACCCUUGUUCACUGUUGCCAGCACGUUAUGGUGGGGACUCAGUGGAGACCGCCGGGGUCAACUCGGAGGAAGGUGGGGAUGACGUCAAGUCAUCAUGCCCCUUAUGUCCAGGGCUUCACGCAUGCUACAAUGGCUGGUACAGAGAGUGGCGAGCCUGUGAGGGUGAGCGAAUCUCGGAAAGCCGGUCUCAGUUCGGAUUGGGGUCUGCAACUCGACCUCAUGAAGUCGGAGUCGCUAGUAAUCGCAGAUCAGCAACGCUGCGGUGAAUACGUUCCCGGGGCU